rnacentral:rRNA from 1 species
AGCAGCCGCGGUAAUUCCAGCUCCAAUAGCGUAUGUUAAAGUUGUUGCAGUUAAAAAGCUCGUAGUUGAAUUUCGGGGUCAAUAAGUUGGUCAUGCCAAUGGUAUGCACUGGCUUUAUUGAUUCCUACCUCUUGACGAACUGUGAUGCCAUUAAUUUGGUGUUGCAAGGAAUCAGGACUGUUACCUUGAAAAAAUUAGAGUGUUUAAAGCAAGCUUACGCUUGAAUACAUUAGCAUGGAAUAAUGAAAUAGGACGUUUGAUCCUAUUUUGUUGGUUUCUAGGAUCGACGUAAUGAUUAAUAGGGAUAGUUGGGGGCAUUAGUAUUCAAUUGUCAGAGGUGAAAUUCUUGGAUUUAUUGAAGACUAACUACUGCGAAAGCAUUUGCCAAGGAUGUU